CACGCGUCUAUUUGCUUGCAGAUCUACACACACUGUCUCCGGCUUCUUUUGUGGCUUGGUAGAAGCCCCAGCUUUUUAACUUAUUAAGCACAGCUGUUCCCUCUGCAGGACUGCAGGCAGGACCGUCCUCUUCGCGGGCUCACUGCAACAUUCAGUAGCUGCUUUGAAGGAACAGAAACAAGAGUAGAUGGUUCGGUGUAUGCAAAUAUCACAGUUCCAGGUAACUUGAAGGAGCAGUUUGGAUUCAGGUGUUCAUUCUUACUUUUAUAUGACCGUAGAUAUAAUCUCUCUCUUUAUGCAAAUAAGACUUACUAUUGUAUUAUAAGAGCAAUAACCAUGCACUGCUUCAAAUGACAUCAUUUACAUUUUUAUUUUUGCAGUAAGAACACAUUUAGGCAACAGAACCAAUGCUACUUUUUGAGAGAUAUUUUCUAAUUUCUAAUGUUGAUGGGUUCAAAGACUUGCUAUGAGUACACAGGUCACAGACACCACCUCAUGCAAAGCAGAAAGGAAAUAAAUCAAGGAAUGAGAACGAGCGCCAAAACCAUUCUUUCUUUUUUUUUUUUUUUCUUUUGAGACAGAGUCUUACUCUGUUGCCCAGGCUGGAGUGAAGUGGUGCAAUCUUGGUUCACUGCAACCUCUGCCUCCCGGGUUCACACCAUUCUCCUGCCUCAGCCUCCCGAGUAGCUGGGACUACAGGCGCGUGCCACCAUGCCCAGCUAAUGUUUUGUAUUAUUAGUAGAGACAGGGUUUCAUCAUGUUGGCCAAGAUGGUCUCGAUCUCCUGACCUUGUGAUCCACCUGACCUUGUGACCUCCUGACCUCGUGAUCUGCCUGCCUCGGCCUCCCAAAGUGCUGGGAUUACAGGCAUGAGCCACUGCACCCGGCCGAGCCAACACCAUUCUGCCUAGUUGUCAAUUAAGACUUUCACUCUUAAGCAGAGUGAAGGGCAAAACCUAAAGGAUUUUUCUCACAGUUGGUCUCUGAUUGUCUGUGGAAACCAAAGGAAAGAGUCAUUGGUUCUGAUGAAAGGUUAGAAAAGCUUUUGAGAGGAGAUGGCAUUGAACCCUGAUGAGUGGGUCUUUUGGGUAAACUAAAAAGUGGUGGUGGGGAAAGGAGGAGGGACAUAAAGGGGGAGCAGCCCCCUUGGCCCACUGCCCGCGUCCCCUUGGCUUUUCACUGGUGCAAGCUGAACUUACAUGCCGAAGAGUCCAUGACCCUCCCGCCCAGCAGAAACCCACAGCUGUGACUGAUGGAAGUGGUGGACAAAUACCCCCAACUUCCUCUCUCGACUCUUGGCUGAGGACAAUUCUGAAGUGAGCUCUACACUGUCUCCCAGAUGCAGUCUGACCUGAGCCACGAAGAAGUGCAGAGUACCCAAGAGGCCAGAGAGCUCACGUCUGGUUAGAGUUGGGGUGUUUGAUGGGAAAAUGAAAGGAGGAGCUGACAUCUGAGCUAUGGCAAGGCUGCCUGAGGCUUUUGGUCAGAAAAAGAUGCCAGCUUUAAAAAAUCUCUGCAGAAGUGUUCUCAGAAGAAUCACAGAAUCUUGGAGCAGGAAGAAGCUUCCAGAAGACUCAAUUUUAUCCAAUUUCUUCAUGGCAGAUGAAGGCACACGGAGCCCACAGUAUGGAAAGAAUGUGCCUCAGGAAACAGCUAAACACUUGCCCUUUUCAUGUUUUCCUCUUUUAUCUGGACCUUGGUCCCAGGGGUAGGAGGCACCGGGGCUGGCUGAGGCACAGGAUGAGUGCAGAGGAAGGCUCUGUGGGAGACACUCCCAUAGUCCAGAUUUAGCAGAGAUUCCAUUCGGAAGGCUUCUGGAGAAACAGCGUGAGUUGACAACUCUGCUUCUGAAUAGUACAUCAUUUAUUCAGUGCCAGCCACCAGCCCGGCAGGUGAUGAGCUAAACUAAACUUGCUGGCACACACAGACAGAACUCAGAAACGGCAGAGUGAUGGCAGCCUCAUCUCAAAGUGGCUCCUUCAAGGAGGAGGACUAAGAGUGUUGAGCUGACCCCGUGUAGCCAGAUAAAUGUGGCUGAAGUGAUGCUGUGUGACUUCUGAAGCCAGGUCGUAAGAAGCCUUGCAGCUUCCUGAUUCUCAGAAUGCUUGCUCUGGAAGAAGCCAGCUGCCAUGUAAGAAAUCAGAUGUCUCUGAGACCACCAUGCUGUGAAGAGGCCAAGACUGCCACAUGCAGAGGCUACAUGGAGAGAGAGAGAGAGAGAGAGACAGAGAGAGAGAUGCUCAGCCAUCCCCGAGCCAAGGCAUAAACACAUGAGUGAGGAAGCCAGGUUGGAUGUUCCCACCCCCUCCAGUCCUCAGAUGACACCAGCCUCAGCUGCCAUCUGACUGCAACCAGAAGAGGCACCCAGAAAGACCUGCCCAGAUGAGCCCAGUCAAUCCUCAGGAUAAUGGGAAGUCAUAAUAAAUUUGUGUUUUAAGUGA